AAAGUCUAAACCCACCACCCUUCUUUGUGAAUGCUGCUUCUCAACCUUCUUCUUCAUAUUAAUUGAUUCUUAAACAUGACCCAAACCCACAUCCAUUAACAAAACUUUACCUCGUCUGUCUUUCUCUCUCAAGGUUUGUCAACCAAGAUUCUUUUGUAAUUAGGAUCUUGAAUUCUUGAUCAAUUCAUCUUCUUUCCAAAUUUCAAUCUUUUUCUUGUGUCAUGGGGGCCAAAGGGCACAGCCAAAGCAAGUUCGUGAAGAUCUUUAUGAUCCCAAUAAAGGUAUUGGGCAAAGCGAGGGAUCUUUACAUCAAGAGUAUGACGGGGUGCGCAGCCAGAGCCACUCCUGGCCACUCCAUGUCGAAGCCAAAUGGUCAAUUGCCCAAGAGUUACAGCAUGGGAUCAUCAAUAUCCAACGACAAUGACGAUUACAUGGAGCUUAUAAGGGCUGCCUCCGUCAGAAGCCUUGGUCACAAGAAUGAAAUCGACAUGUUAUUGCAGCAAAUGAAGCAGGAAUCAAUGUCAUCGAAACAGUUGCCCAAGAGUUGCAGCGUUGGGAUGGGAUUCAUGGGUAGGAUUGAUGAAGAGAAGCCGUCUGAUGAAGAAGUCAGUGGCCAUGGUGCGAAUAAGAAAGCAGCAAAGGCAGAGUUGUAUCCUCGAAGCAGAAGCUAUGCUGUGGCAAAAACUAGCGUUGCCUUUUGAUUGAUUUUGAGAAUUUGGAUUAGGGAGACUUGAAAUUGAAAAGGCCAAAAUCCCUUCUGGAUUUGUUUGGUUUGAUUCUUGAAGAUGUUGAAAAAUGUUUCUGUGCAAAGAUAUUUUAAGAGAAAUGUAGUUGGUAGGAGCACUUGUUUCUUCUCCAAUUUCAAAUCCAACUCCCAAUUCAAAGCAAUAAAAGAUUGAACCUUACCUUAUCCAUAAGUUAGAUUAUAUAUUUACGGUUUUCCUUUUCACCAAUUAAAGUUGGUUUAAU
rnacentral:misc_RNA from 1 species